rnacentral:siRNA from 1 species
UUCACCAAAUCCCGCCUCCACCGC